rnacentral:lncRNA from 1 species
AAAGAAAGAAAGAAAGAAAGAAAGAAAGAAAGAAAGAAAGAAGAAAGAAAGAAAGAAAGAAGAAAGAAAGAAAGAAAGAGAGAAAGAAAGAAAGAAAGAAAGAAAGAAAGAAAGAAAGAAAGAAAGAAAGAAAGAAAUGAUAUAAUCUUGCUGCAUAUGCAGUUGUUCACAGUUUAAAUUUAUGCACUAUGACUCAGGGAAAGAAAGAAUGUAGGUGUAGGGGUGCCCCACUCAUUUCCAGCCUGAAGCGGGAUCACUCUGUGCACACCCCAGGGACCUCUACAAAAGCCUGUACCUGGCUCAGGAGGACCUCCUGCCCCUUCACUAGGACUGAAACACAAACUAUUCACAUGGAGAAGGAAGGUCCUGUCCUCACAGUCAUGAGAUGGGCAGAUGCCAUGGUCUAGCUCCAGGACAUAUGCUGUAUGGAUUUUCUUCUCCAGAAAUGAUGACAUGGUAAGGUAACAAACACCUCUGUGAUGGCAAGGAUUUCUGGUGCACAGUUUGUCUAUGGAAUUUACAACAAUCUUAGAUGCAAAAAGACCUACCU